rnacentral:lncRNA from 1 species
AAACGAUGGAAAAUGGAAUCCAGAUUAAAACGAUUUAAAGUAUAGUUAGGCAUAUGAUUAUAUACACCAAGUGAAUUUAUUUCAGCGGAAGUAAAACAGAGUGUUCUUCAAUAUUACAGCAACAACCUUUCCUCAGCCUCGCACGUCACCACCAGCUGCUCAAUCUGCAAAAGGUUUUAAAAAAAUUGCAGGGCUGAGUACUAGUGUACUCAGUGGGUUGAGCCAUUUAAAAAUCAUUUACUGAAAAAGAUAAUUCAUGCCUUAAACAGUAUAACACAGAAUGUUUUUAAAGACGAGUCAUUCCAUGCAUACUAAAAUAAUCUGAGCUCAUAUUUUCCUGGCCAUCUAUUGGGCAUGCUAUCUACAACUGGUUGUCACCGAUCUCUCGAGACAACAGGUUCUGGUGUACGUACACAAUUCUGGUUAGCAGAGCUAACAAUGUUCUGGUUGACGGAGCCAACAAUGUUCUGGUAGAAGCAAUAACCAAUAGAGAGCAAAAACAUUUUAGGCAUGAACCAUCAACUUUAACUUUACAUAAAACCGAGCUUAUUAGCUCAAACAUACAUUUCGUAAAUAAAGCCUCACUUGAUUUGGAGAAAAUCCAAACAAUAUAACUCAGCUGACCAAGAGCCUAAAUAUCCUCUUCUGUAGGACCUACAAGAUAAGUUCUCAACUUAAACUCAUAGUCCUAAAAUCAAGUUUAACCUUCAUGACUUAUCAUCAUUUCUAACUAGAUUCGCAACACCCGGGUUUUCAAAAAAGUUCAACAUAAAACUUGAAAAUCAUUUUUCUUGGCUAAGGGUUUUAAUAAUACCCUUGCUCGGCUUUUACUUAAAAACUCAAUUCACAAAUAAAUUCAUGGCCCGCUUAGUAAUUUAAUAAAAGGCCCUCUUCAUGCAAAAAUGUAGCCCAAAAUAUAAA